rnacentral:tRNA from 1 species
GCGGCGAUGGUGAAAUUGGUAGACACAACAGGUUUAGGUCCUGUCGGGGGAAACCCUGUGGAGGUUCGAGUCCUCUUCGCCGCACCA